UUGUGCCUCUUGUUGCAUACGGCUCGUAAACGGUUGUGAAGGACGCGUCCUUGACAGCCGUUUACGAGCCGUAUGCAACAAGAGGCAGAA
rnacentral:pre_miRNA from 1 species